rnacentral:misc_RNA from 1 species
UCAAACUUGGUCAUUUAGAGGAAGUAAAAGUCGUAACAAGGUUUCCGUAGGGUAAGUCAAUAAAAUCCAUUCAAUCAGUAAGAAUUUCGAACUAACAUUUUCACAGUGAACCUGCGGAAGGAUCAUUACUGAGUGUCGAGUGACCUUCGGGUCCUCAACCUCCCACACAUUGUGUACCUUACCUCUGUUUCUUCGGCGGAUCGUCAGUAUUUUCUGCCUCUGGUCUAGUACUAGAGUGUUAUCUGUCGAAGACAUCAUUUCAAAUCUUGAUUUACUGUUGUCUGAUUUGAAAAUUCAAAAGUUAAAACUUUCAACAACGGAUCUCUUGGUUCUGGCAUCGAUGAAGAACGCAGC